CUCAGGACCUUUUGCUACCACCAAGGGUCUGCGCCAGGGGGACAGGCUUGCCUGUCUCCUAUUCAACUUGGCGCUAGAGAGGGCCAUCCGCGACUCGAGGGUGGAGACUACGGGAACCAUCUUCUAUAAGUCAACCCAGAUCCUGGCAUACGCUGAUGAUAUAGACAUCAUUGGUCUGCGGCUCUCCUAUGUAGCAGAAGCCUACCAAGGGAUUGAGCAGGCGGCAGAGAACCUCGGAUUGCAGAUAAACGAGGCAAAGACCAAACUGAUGGUGGCAACAUCAGCGGACCUACCAAUAAAUAAUCCGAAUCUACGUAGGCGUGAUGUACAGAUAGGUGAACGCACUUUUGAAGUCGUCCCACAAUUCACCUAUCGUGGGUCAAAGGUCAGCAACGACAAUAGCAUGGAAGCUGAGUUGCGCGCAAGGAUGCUGGCUGCCAACCGGUCAUUCUACAGCCUGAAAAAGCAGUUCACCUCAAAGAACCUGUCGCGACGGACGAAGCUGGGACUAUAUAGUACCUAUAUAGUACCAGUACUCACAUACGUCUCUGAGACAUGGACACUGUCCAAAUCUGACGAAGCCCUCUUAGCCGCGUUCGAGAGGAAAAUGCUCAGAAGGAUACUUGGCCCCGUAUGUGUGGAAGGACAAUGGAGGAGCCGAUAUAAUGACGAGCUAUACGAGAUGUACGGCGACCUCACUGUCGUACAGCGUAUUAAGCUCGCCAGGCUCCGGUGGGCUGGCCAUGUUGUACGCAUGGAAACGGACGACCCAGCCCGUAAAGUCUUUUUAGGCCGUCCACAAGGACAGAGGCGGCGUGGUAGGCCCAAAUUGAGGUGGCAAGAUGGCGUGGAGGCGUCCGCCAUUAAGGCCGGGAUAACGGACUGGUAGACGAAGGCGCGAGACCGUGAAGCUGGCCCUACACGCUGCAUUCAUGUAUGCGGCUACAAAUGACAGCUACACAUUUUCUUUUGUUCUAUUUGUCAAAUGUAGCUACACGACGUAGCUAUCGUUUGGGACCUUUUCAAUCCGUGUAUGUUCAGCUGUCAUAUUGUGGUUGUCAAACAUAGUUGGUUGUGUUUAUAUUAUGCGGAGAUCACUCCGGUUGUGUUUUUGCCGUGAUACACAAAGUUUCUUUUUUUACAGUGGAAAAAUGGAAAUAAAUCAACUUCUUCCAACUUUAGCGGCUGAAGUGGCUACUCUCAUGUUGAUACUCAUAGAAGAGGAAGACGAAGAACUGCAGCAAGAGGAAAAUGCACGGCGCUGCUGGAUGACCGAUCUAUUUCUGGAGAGGGAAAGCGUUUGGACCGGACUGUUUAGGGCGAUAGAUGGCGAAGGACCAAACAACCGGCUAGAAAGUUUUCUACGUGUGAAUCGCGAAGAAUUUUACUAUCUUUUAAAUCGGAUUGGUCCAAAAAUUGAGCGACAAGAUACAACGAUGCGACCUUCGAUCUGCCCGAAGCAACGAUUAUGCAUCGGGCUUCGCUUUUUAGCUUCGGGAGACUCAUAUGAAUCUCUUGCUUUUUUGUUUAGGGUUUCUAGCAGUUCCGUAUCCCGUAUUGUGCGUGAUGUUUGUACAUACAUAAUAAAUGAAUUGAAGGAAUACGUUAAGGUAUUAUUUCACUGAUUUAAUAUGGUAACAAUUCCAUACUAAUA